UAGAGGAAGUAAAAGUCGUAACAAGGUUUCCGUAGGUGAACCUGCGGAAGGAUCAUUACUGAAUUGUCAACACGAGUUGUUGCUGGUCCCCAAAUGGGGGCACGUGCACGCUCUGUUCGCACAUCCAUUCACACCUGUGCACCCCAUGUAGUUCUAUGGUUUGGGGGACUCUCCCUCUGCUGUGGUUCUAUAUCUUUACACACACUCUGUAAUAAAGUCUUAUGGAAUGUAUGCAGCGUUUAACGCAAUACAAUACAACUUUCAGCAACGGAUCUCUUGGCUCUCGCAUCGAUGAAGAACGCAGCGAAAUGCGAUAAGUAAUGUGAAUUGCAGAAUUCAGUGAAUCAUCGAAUCUUUGAACGCACCUUGCGCCCUUUGGCUAUUCCGAAGGGCAUGCCUGUUUGAGUAUCAUGAACACCUCAACUCUCAUGCUUUGCCAUGAUGAGCUUGGACUUUGGGGGUCUUGCUGGCCUGUGGUCAGCUCCUCUCAAAUGAAUCAGCUUUCCAGUGUUUGGUGGCAUCACAGGUGUGAUAAAUAUCUACACUUGUGGUUUCCUGCCAAGUAACCUUCAGCAAUGGGGGUUUGCUGGAGCUCAUAAAUGUCUCUCCUCAGCGAAGACAGCUUUGUAAAUGUUUGAUCUCAAAUCAGGUAGGACUACCCGCUGAACUUAAGCAUAUCAAU
rnacentral:rRNA from 1 species